AUGCCGGAAGAAUACGUGGAUGAAGUAAUCGUUAAUAAAUCUGUUGAUAUUCCCAAUGUAAGAACAGAAAGAAAUGCUCUGACCUCUCACUCCAGAAAUAGAGGUCCUCCUACACAUGUCACACCACUACCUCGGAUACCAAAAAUGAACUCAGGUCUUGGUAGUCCCAGGAUACACUCCAGGAUUGCUAAAUGCUGGCUAACAAAUUAUAGCUUUAUUCUAAUUUUAGAGCUGCCAGGCCUUGUCCAUGUUAUGAGGUCAUCAAGAAAAACUAUACCAAAGAUGAAACUGACCCAGAAUGGUGCUCCUCACAUGCUCCUGCACUCCUGCCCCCCUACCUGCCCAGCUUCUCAUUGCCUCUCUGGGUGUGGAUGCCUAUUGUGGUCUCAGGCAUCACCAUGUGAAAGAUGACGUUUUCAGUGAUUUCUUCUUCUAACAUUCUAGGAUGUGGAUGAAAUUGGUGGGAAUUAUUGUGAAUGUCAAACUGGUGGGGGUUUUUUGAUUGAAGUAUAGUUGAGAUACAGUAUUAUGCAACACAGUGAUUUGACAUGAAUAUAUAUUGUAAAAUGGUUGCCAUAAUAAGUCUAGUUCUGUGGUUAUUUUAAAACCUAUCUUCAAAGUCAGUUCAUAUGCAAUAAUUCAGCUGUACAAUGUCUUGGGUGGUAUAAUUGCAGUUGUAAUUGCAGUUGUUGUUAUAAUAGAUGAUAAAAUCUUAUAAGGGUUAUAUUCCUCAGUUUUGUAGGAGCUAUUCAUCUCUUUUUUUUUUUGAUGGGUUGAUAAAUCAAGUGAAUAGCAUAUAGCACUGCUUCUCAAAUGAUUGUGAAAGAUCUAAUUUUAUAAAAUUUCCAAGAGAUUGGUAACUUUUGUAAAACCAGCAAAAAUAAAUUGUUAGUAAAAAAGAGAUAAGAAACA
rnacentral:lncRNA from 12 species